ACGGAAUAGAUACCCCGGUAGUCCACGCCCUAAACGAUGUCUACUAGUUGUCGGGUCUUAAUUGACUUGGUAAACGCAGCUAAACGCGUGAAAGUAGACCGCCUGGGGAGUACGGUCGCAAGAUUAAAACUCAAAGGAAUUGACGGGGACCCGCACAAGCGGUGGAUGAUGUGGAUUAAUUCGAUGCAACGCGAAAAACCUUACCUACCCUUGACAUGGAUGGAAUCCUUGAGAGAUUGAGGAGUGCCCGAAAGGGAACCAUUACACAGGUGCUGCAUGGCUGUCGUCAGCUCGUGUCGUGAGAUGUUGGGUUAAGUCCCGCAACGAGCGCAACCCUUGUCAUUAGUUGCUACGAAAGGGCACUCUAAUGAGACUGCCGGUGACAAACCGGAGGAAGGUGGGGAUGACGUCAAGUCCUCAUGGCCCUUAUGGGUAGGGCUUCACACGUCAUACAAUGGUACAUACAGAGGGCCGCCAACCACGAGGGGAGCUAAUCCCAGAAAGUGUAUCGUAGUCCGGAUUGUAGUCUGCAACUCG
rnacentral:rRNA from 1 species